rnacentral:rRNA from 1 species
AGUGAACGCUGGCGGUAGGCCUAACACAUGCAAGUCGAACGGCAGCACAGUAAGAGCUUGCUCUUACGGGUGGCGAGUGGCGGACGGGUGAGGAAUACAUCGGAAUCUACUUUUUCGUGGGGGAUAACGUAGGGAAACUUACGCUAAUACCGCAUACGACCUACGGGUGAAAGCAGGGGAUCUUCGGACCUUGCGCGAUUGAAUGAGCCGAUGUCGGAUUAGCUAGUUGGCGGGGUAAGGGCCCACCAAGGCGACGAUCCGUAGCUGGUCUGAGAGGAUGAUCAGCCACACUGGAACUGAGACACGGUCCAGACUCCUACGGGAGGCAGCAGUGGGGAAUAUUGGACAAUGGGCGAAAGCCUGAUCCAGCCAUACCGCGUGGGUGAAGAAGGCCUUCGGGUUGUAAAGCUCUUUUGUUGGGAAAGAAAAGCAGCAGGUGAAUACCCCGCUGUUCUGACGGUACCCAAAGAAUAAGCACCGGCUAACUUCGUG